UACGUAGGGUGCGAGCGUUGUCCGGAAUUAUUGGGCGUAAAGAGCUCGUAGGCGGUGUGUCGCGUCGGUCGUGAAAACUUGGGGCUUAACCCUGAGCUUGCGGUCGAUACGGGCAUCACUGGAGUUCGGCAGGGGAGACUGGAAUUCCUGGUGUAGCGGUGAAAUGCGCAGAUAUCAGGAGGAACACCGGUGGCGAAGGCGGGUCUCUGGGCAUCUCCUGACGCUGAGGCGCGAAAGCGUGGGGAGCAAACGGG
rnacentral:rRNA from 1 species